GAAGAGAUGGCUCAGUGGUUAAGAGCAUAGACUGCUUUUCCUGAGGUCCUGAGUUCAAUUCCCAGCCACAACA
rnacentral:tRNA from 1 species